ensembl:misc_RNA Metazoa_SRP Metazoan signal recognition particle RNA
GCUGGGCAUGGUGGCGGGUGCCUGUAAUCCCAGCUACUCGGGAGGCUGAGGCAGGAGAAUCACUUGAGUCCAGGAGAUGGAGGUUGCAGUGAGCUGAAAUUGUGCCACUGCAUUCCAGCCUGGGCAACAGAGUGAGACUCUGUCUCAA